GAUGAACGCUGGCGGCGUGCCUAAUACAUGCAAGUCGAGCGAACAGAUGAGAAGCUUGCUUCUCUGAUGUUAGCGGCGGACGGGUGAGUAACACGUGGGUAACCUACCUAUAAGACUGGGAUAACUCCGGGAAACCGGGGCUAAUACCGGAUAAUAUUUUGAACCGCAUGGUUCAAUAGUGAAAGACGGUUUCGGCUGUCACUUAUAGAUGGACCCGCGCCGUAUUAGCUAGUUGGUAAGGUAACGGCUUACCAAGGCGACGAUACGUAGCCGACCUGAGAGGGUGAUCGGCCACACUGGAACUGAGACACGGUCCAGACUCCUACGGGAGGCAGCAGUAGGGAAUCUUCCGCAAUGGGCGAAAGCCUGACGGAGCAACGCCGCGUGAGUGAUGAAGGUCUUCGGGUCGUAAAACUCUGUUGUUAGGGAAGAACAAAUUUGUUAGUAACUGAACAAGUCUUGACGGUACCUAACCAGAAAGCCACGGCUAACUACGUGCCAGCAGCCGCGGUAAUACGUAGGUGGCAAGCGUUAUCCGGAAUUAUUGGGCGUAAAGCGCGCGUAGGCGGUUUCUUAAGUCUGAUGUGAAAGCCCACGGCUCAACCGUGGAGGGUCAUUGGAAACUGGGAAACUUGAGUGCAGAAGAGGAGAGUGGAAUUCCAUGUGUAGCGGUGAAAUGCGCAGAGAUAUGGAGGAACACCAGUGGCGAAGGCGGCUCUCUGGUCUGUAACUGACGCUGAUGUGCGAAAGCGUGGGGAUCAAACAGGAUUAGAUACCCUGGUAGUCCACGCCGUAAACGAUGAGUGCUAAGUGUUAGGGGGUUUCCGCCCCUUAGUGCUGCAGCUAACGCAUUAAGCACUCCGCCUGGGGAGUACGACCGCAAGGUUGAAACUCAAAGGAAUUGACGGGGACCCGCACAAGCGGUGGAGCAUGUGGUUUAAUUCGAAGCAACGCGAAGAACCUUACCAAAUCUUGACAUCCUUUGACCGCUCUAGAGAUAGAGUCUUCCCCUUCGGGGGACAAAGUGACAGGUGGUGCAUGGUUGUCGUCAGCUCGUGUCGUGAGAUGUUGGGUUAAGUCCCGCAACGAGCGCAACCCUUAAGCUUAGUUGCCAUCAUUAAGUUGGGCACUCUAGGUUGACUGCCGGUGACAAACCGGAGGAAGGUGGGGAUGACGUCAAAUCAUCAUGCCCCUUAUGAUUUGGGCUACACACGUGCUACAAUGGAUAAUACAAAGGGCAGCGAAUCCGCGAGGCCAAGCAAAUCCCAUAAAAUUAUUCUCAGUUCGGAUUGUAGUCUGCAACUCGACUACAUGAAGCUGGAAUCGCUAGUAAUCGUAGAUCAGCAUGCUACGGUGAAUACGUUCCCGGGUCU
rnacentral:rRNA from 1 species